rnacentral:rRNA from 1 species
AACGAACGCUGGCGGCAUGCCUAACACAUGCAAGUCGAACGAGACCUUCGGGUCUAGUGGCGCACGGGUGCGUAACGCGUGGGAACCUGCCCUUAGGUUCGGAAUAACUCCCCGAAAGGGGUGCUAAUACCGGAUAAUGUCUUCGGACCAAAGAUUUAUCGCCUUUGGAUGGGCCCGCGUUGGAUUAGCUAGUUGGUAGGGUAAAAGCCUACCAAGGCGACGAUCCAUAGCUGGUCUGAGAGGAUGAUCAGCCACACUGGGACUGAGACACGGCCCAGACUCCUACGGGAGGCAGCAGUGGGGAAUAUUGGACAAUGGGCGAAAGCCUGAUCCAGCAAUGCCGCGUGAGUGAUGAAGGCCUUAGUGUUGUAAAGCUCUUUUACCCGGGAUGAUAAUGACAGUACCGGGAGAAUAAGCACCGGCUAACUCCGUG